GCACUGGCGGGCCCGAGCUGUGUCGCGUCCCCCCCCAACGCGCUGCCUCCCCGUCCCAUUUGUGUCCUCUGGCCAUCGCCCUCUUUGGUAACGCCCAUCACUGCAAAGACCCUUUUCCUUCAUCGGCGUUUGCUGUUCUUCCUGCCAGUGCGUGUUGCUUUCACUUACACUUGCCACAGCCAGCCUCGUGAGUGCCUAGCCUAUUGGAUAUCACUGUCACCUACACAGGACAGUCAUUACCUUUCUAUUAAUACUUUGUUUUUUAAUUUCACAUUAAUUUCCAAAUUGUAUAAACGACUGGAAAAAACUUGAGCCCCUGCCCCUGUAUAAUCAUGUGCACGUCUCUGUUCUAGCUCUAAGGUAAAUCUUCACUGCUCAUGUUCUCCUCAGAAGCAGUCACCUCACUCCCCUCAGGUUACUGUACACAUGCACCAACUGCCUGCUUCAGGUUUGGAUGGAGCUUCAUGGUUGUCUUUUGGAGAAAUGACCAGUCAAGUUGUGUUUGAAAUUUGAUUUUUUUCAGGGGCAAAAGGAGCCUCUGCAUUCUUGUCAAAUAUGUAAAUAGCAUGUUUUUGCAGGUGCUACAAACCAGACUCUGAGUGUGUGUGUGUGUGUGUGUGUGUGUGUGUGUGUCUGUGUGUGUGUGUGUGUGUGUGCGUUCAAGUCACAUGACAUAUUUAACCGGAUGUAGCUGCAAGACGGAGCCUCGUUGACUCUCCGUUUCAAUUUAUCUCAAAAGUGAGGACCUCAACCUAUAUACCAGUUUUUAAAUUGUGUUGAUAGGCCAAAUAAAACCAGAGUUAUGAUAAAUUAUGUCCGCGAUACUUGUUUUCUGCUUAUUUUGAUCACAUUCGGCGCUCGAUCGCGCUGUAUGAGACAGGAAAACAUAGCAUGCAGACAUUAGCGACAGGUCUUACAGGCGGAAAAGGCUUGCCAAAGGAAAAAAAAUACACACCACAACAUCUCUCCUAUUGGUGGAAAACUUCACCACAACAACCAAUCCAAAAUUAUAUGGUGACUGAUUGACAAGGGGCGGGAACUUACGUUCUUCCUGCAAUAUGAGAAGGGAGGGAGGGACUCUCAGCAGGGAUGCAGUCUGGGACACGUAGUUGCAAACCUAGCGACUUUGUUGUUAGAUUCAAUGACUUUUCAGACCCCCUAACGACUUUUUUUUAGAAAGAAAGUGACUUUUAUCGACUUCUUCUGGAGUUUAGAGACUCUGACAUGAAGCAGGCUUUCCUUACUGAGGAGUUAGCAACGCUGCUAAGGGUGCAGAGCCACACAUGCGCUCCGAGCUCUGCAUGGGAGACUGAAGCUGACAGAGCUGCAGCAGUUAGCAGGUUUCACCCUCAGAGACCACCAGGGGUUCAUGUUGAGGCAUUUUCAGUUUUUUUUUUUUUUUUUUUGCCAUAGACACUGUCAGCACAAUCUGCAGUUACACUAACAAAAAUGCUGCAAAAAACAAAGAAUUAUGGAAAAAUUACACAUGGACUAACAUAGAGGAGGAUCUACACAAGUUUUUUACAUCAUGUUUUACAUCAUGCAUCAUUUACAUCAUGUUUUUUUGUAGUGGCAUAAAUAAAAAGUGACAUUUGUGAGACUAUACAGUGUUUUGUAAAUAAUUUUACAAAGAACACCUGGGCCAUUGCCUGCAUUUUGAUGUCAAUAGAGGUAAAUUACUAUGUUCUUUGUUAAAAAUUUGCAUAUGUUUUGAAGUUUACAAUUUUUAUUUGAAGUUUAAGUUUUAAAAACAGUUCAUCACACAUAUUUGUGGUUUAAUUUCACAUUAAUUUCCAUAUUGUAUAAAUGACUGGAAAAAACUUGAGCCCCUGCCCCUGUAUAAUCAUGUGCACGUCCCUGUUCUAGCUCCAAGGUGAAUCUUCAUUGCUCAUGUUCUCCUCAGAAAUAGUCACCUCACUCCCCUCAGGUUACUGUACACAUGCACCAACUAUCUGCUUCAGGUUUGAAAUGGAGCUUCAUGGUUGUCUUUUGGAGAAAUGAACAGUCAAGUUGUGUUUGAAAUUUGAUUUUUUUCAGGGGCAAAAGGAAGCCUCUGCAUUCUUGUCAAAUAUGUAAACAGCAUGUUUUUGCAGGUGCUAAAAAACAGACUCUGAGUGUGGGUGUGUGUCUGUGUGUGUGUGUGUGUGUGUGUGUGUGUGUGUGUGUGUAUGUUGGCGUGUGUGUAUAUGUGUGUGUAUCCUGCAGUACUCUGUACUCCUGCAGUGGCCAAAAAGACUCUUAAGAAUGUGGAUUUUUGGGUCAUCUUUGGCGCCCCCUAGAACUGCAGUACUCUGUACUCCUGCAGUGGCCAAAAUGACUUUUAAGAAUGUGGAUUUUUGGGUCAUCUUUGGCGCCCCCUAGAACGUAAACCGUGGGGUGCAGCGUCAUGAUUUUUACAACUUUGAAUGGGCAUGGGGUGUAGAUUGCCCUGAGCAAAUUUGGUAUCAGUGGGACGAAAGCCUUAGGAGGAGAUAGCCACAUUCCAAUGUGUGCGAAUCGGCAAAAAAUGCAAAAUAGCCCUUUAACCGUACAUUAUACAGAUACGCGCUCUUUGACUUUUUCGUAGAGCUAAUUGAGAUACACAUGAUUGUCAAUUUUUGUGUCAAUAUGACAAAGCGUUCAGGCGUGACACUCAACAAUGUGUAUUUUUAUGUAAGGGGACAAGAAAAAAUGGACUUUUUUCUCCUACCAUGGGGGGGCGCUCUUUUGGGGAGUAAAAAUUCCUUCACAAAUGUGUUGAUGGCUGGACAUUGCAUCAUCCUAGAAAACUUGGAGGCCAGUGGGGACAAAAAUAAAAAGUUAUAAGACUUUUAAAUAUGUGGAUUUUACGGUUAUCUUUGGCUCCCCCUAGAACCUAAACCGUGGGGUGCAGCGUCAUGAUUUGAAUAACUUUUAAUGGCCAUGGGGUGUAGAUUGGCCUGAGCAAAUGUGGUGCCGGUGGAACGAAAGCCUUCGGAGGAGUUAGCGAAAUUCCAAUGUGUGCGGAUCGGCAAAAAAUGCGGAAUAACCCUUUAACCGUACAUUUGACAGAUACGCGCGCAUGGACUUUUUUGUAGAUCUUAUUGAGAUACAUGUGUGUGUCAAUUUUUGUGUCAUUUUGACAAAGCGUACAGGCGUGACACUCAACAAUGUGUAUUUUCACCUUAGGGGACAAGAAAAAAUGGACUUUUUUCUCCUGCCAUGGGGGGGCGCUCUUUUGGGGAGUAAAAAUUCCUUCACAAAUGUGUUGAUGGCUGGACAUUGCAUCAUCCUAGAAAACUUGGAGGCCAGUGAGGGCAAAAAUAAAAAGUUAUAAGACUUUUAAAUAUGUGGAUUUUAGGGUUAUCUUUGGCGCCCCCUAGAACCUAAACCGUGGGGUGCAGCGUCAUGAUUUGAAUAACUUUUAAUGGCCAUGGGGUGUAGAUUGGCCUGAGCAAAUGUGGUGCCGGUGGAACGAAAGCCUUCGGAGGAGUUAGCGAAAUUCCAAUGUGUGCGGAUCGGCAAAAAAUGCGAAAUAACCCUUUAACCGUACAUUUGACAGAUACGCCCGCACUGACUUUUUUGUAGAUCUUAUUGAGAUACAUGUGUGUGUCAAUUUUUGUGUCAUUUUGACAAAGCGUACAGGCGUGACAGUCAAUAGUGUGAAUUUUCACCUUAGGGGGCGCUAUGGAGCCAUUUUGCAUUUUCUUGUUUGGGCGACUUCGGAAUAUCAAAUUUUUCACCAGGCCCGGUCGUCCUGCCAAAUUUCAUGAGUUUUCGCCAGUGGGAAGUGGGCCAUUUUCCAGUUCAAAGGGGAGGAAAAAGAAAAAAGAAACAAAAGAAAAACCCUGGGAAAAAGGGCUCUCGCAGCUGCUUGGCAGCUACGCUCGGGCCCUAAAAAAGAAGGAAACAUGCAGGAACAAGAGGGCUCUCGCAGCUGCUUAGCAGCUACGCUCGGGCCCUAACUAGGACCCCGUUGGGGCACUGGCGGGCCCGAGCUGUGUCGCGUCCCCCCCAACGCGCUGCCUCCCCGUCCCAUUUGUGUCCUCUGGCCAUCGCCCUCUUUGGUAACGCCCAUCACUGCAAAGACCCUUUUCCUUCAUCGGCGUUUGCUGUUCUUCCUGCCAGUGCGUGUUGCUUUCACUUACACUUGCCACAGCCAGCCUCGUGAGUGCCUAGCCUAUUGGAUAUCACUGUCACCUACACAGGACAGUCAUUACCUUUCUAUUAAUACUUUGUUUUUUAAUUUCACAUUAAUUUCCAAAUUGUAUAAACGACUGGAAAAAACUUGAGCCCCUGCCCCUGUAUAAUCAUGUGCACGUCUCUGUUCUAGCUCUAAGGUAAAUCUUCACUGCUCAUGUUCUCCUCAGAAGCAGUCACCUCACUCCCCUCAGGUUACUGUACACAUGCACCAACUGCCUGCUUCAGGUUUGGAUGGAGCUUCAUGGUUGUCUUUUGGAGAAAUGACCAGUCAAGUUGUGUUUGAAAUUUGAUUUUUUUCAGGGGCAAAAGGAGCCUCUGCAUUCUUGUCAAAUAUGUAAAUAGCAUGUUUUUGCAGGUGCUACAAACCAGACUCUGAGUGUGUGUGUGUGUGUGUGUGUGUGUGUGUGUGUGUGUGUGUGUGUGUGUGUGUGCGUUCAAGUCACAUGACAUAUUUAACCGGAUGUAGCUGCAAGACGGAGCCUCGUUGACUCUCCGUUUCAAUUUAUCUCAAAAGUGAGGACCUCAACCUAUAUACCAGUUUUUAAAUUGUGUUGAUAGGCCAAAUAAAACCAGAGUUAUGAUAAAUUAUGUCCGCGAUACUUGUUUUCUGCUUAUUUUGAUCACGUUCGGCGCUCGAUCGCGCUGUAUGAGACAGGAAAACAUAGCAUGCAGACAUUAGCGACAGGUCUUACAGGCGGAAAAGGCUUGCCAAAGGAAAAAAAAUACACACCACAACAUCUCUCCUAUUGGUGGAAAACUUCACCACAACAACCAAUCCAAAAUUAUAUGGUGACUGAUUGACAAGGGGCGGGAACUUACGUUCUUCCUGCAAUAUGAGAAGGGAGGGAGGGACUCUCAGCAGGGAUGCAGUCUGGGACACGUAGUUGCAAACCUAGCGACUUUGUUGUUAGAUUCAAUGACUUUUCAGACCCCCUAACGACUUUUUUUAGAAAGAAAGUGACUUUUAUCGACUUCUUCUGGAGUUUAGAGACUCUGACAUGAAGCAGGCUUUCCUUACUGAGGAGUUAGCAACGCUGCUAAGGGUGCAGAGCCACACAUGCGCUCCGAGCUCUGCAUGGGAGACUGAAGCUGACAGAGCUGCAGCAGUUAGCAGGUUUCACCCUCAGAGACCACCAGGGGUUCAUGUUGAGGCAUUUUCAGUUUUUUUUUUUUUUUUUUUGCCAUAGACACUGUCAGCACAAUCUGCAGUUACACUAACAAAAAUGCUGCAAAAAACAAAGAAUUAUGGAAAAAUUACACAUGGACUAACAUAGAGGAGGAUCUACACAAGUUUUUUACAUCAUGUUUUACAUCAUGCAUCAUUUACAUCAUGUUUUUUUGUAGUGGCAUAAAUAAAAAGUGACAUUUGUGAGACUAUACAGUGUUUUGUAAAUAAUUUUACAAAGAACACCUGGGCCAUUGCCUGCAUUUUGAUGUCAAUAGAGGUAAAUUACUAUGUUCUUUGUUAAAAAUUUGCAUAUGUUUUGAAGUUUACAAUUUUUAUUUGAAGUUUAAGUUUUAAAAACAGUUCAUCACACAUAUUUGUGGUUUAAUUUCACAUUAAUUUCCAUAUUGUAUAAAUGACUGGAAAAAACUUGAGCCCCUGCCCCUGUAUAAUCAUGUGCACGUCCCUGUUCUAGCUCCAAGGUGAAUCUUCAUUGCUCAUGUUCUCCUCAGAAAUAG